rnacentral:tRNA from 1 species
GGAAGUGGUCAGGGCACUGGUGGCCCUCCCGGACUUCAAAUCCGGUGUGUGGGGUUAAUAGCCUCUCAGGUGGGUUCGAUUCCCAUGCACUUCCGCCA